GGGGGGAUGAGCUAACCUGGUAUGCUGCCAGGUUUGGGACCUGGUUGUCCGAGUCCAAAUCUCGGUCCCCCCA
rnacentral:tRNA from 1 species